rnacentral:rRNA from 1 species
AACGAACGCUGGCGGCGUGCCUAACCCAUGCAAGUCGAACGAGAGAGGGGCUUCGACUCCGAGUAAAGUGGCGCACGGGUGAGUAACACGUAGGUAACCUGCCUCCACGAUUGGGAUAACCUGUCGAAAGACGAGCUAAUACCAAAUCAGCCCACGGUCUCUUCGGGGACAGAGGUCAAAGGUAGACUCUAUGUUUAUAAGCUAGCGCUGAGAGAAGGGCCUGCGUACCAUUAGCUAGUUGGCGAGGUAACGGCUCACCAAGGCAAAGAUGGUUAGCUGGUCGUAGAGGAUGAUCAGCCACACUGGAACUGAGACACGGUCCAGACUCCUACGGGAGGCAGCAGUGGGGAAUAUUGCGCAAUGGGCGAAAGCCUGACGCAGCAACGCCGCGUGAGUGAUGAAGGCCUUCGGGUCGUAAAGCUCUGUCGGAGGGAACGAAUGCUCUUGAGGUUAACAGCCUCGGGAGGUGACGGUACCCUCAAAGGAAGCACCGGCUAACUCUGUGCCAGCCGCCGCGGUAAGAC